UGAGGGUUGAUAGGUUAAGAGCUGAUUGACUGGACGUUACCCACAGAAGAAGCACCGGCUAACUCCGUGCCAGCAGCCGCGGUAAUACGGAGGGUGCGAGCGUUAAUCGGAAUUACUGGGCGUAAAGAGUGCGUAGGUGGUUAAUUAAGUUAUGUGUAAAAUCCCUGGGCUCAACCUGGGCAGGUCAUAUAAUACUGAUUAACUCGAGUAUGGGAGAGGGUAGUGGAAUUUCCGGUGUAGCGGUGAAAUGCGUAGAGAUCGGAAGGAACACCGGUGGCGAAGGCGGCUGCCUGGCCUAAUACUGACACUGAGGCACGAAAGCGUGGGGAGCAAACAGGAUUAGAUACCCUGGUAGUCCACGCCGUAAACGAUGUCAACUAGCUGUUGGUUAUAUAAAAAUAAUUAGUGGCGCAGCAAACGCGAUAAGUUGACC
rnacentral:rRNA from 1 species